rnacentral:rRNA from 1 species
UUAAAUUGAAGAGUUUGAUCAUGGCUCAGAUUGAACGCUGGCGGCAGGCCUAACACAUGCAAGUCGAACGGUAACAGGAAGCAGCUUGCUGCUUUGCUGACGAGUGGCGGACGGGUGAGUAAUGUCUGGGAAACUGCCUGAUGGAGGGGGAUAACUACUGGAAACGGUGGCUAAUACCGCAUAACGUCGCAAGACCAAAGAGGGGGACCUUCGGGCCUCUUGCCAUCAGAUGUGCCCAGAUGGGAUU